AACAAAUUUCCAUCCUAAUAGCUUUGCUCAUAUUUUAAAACUCAAUAAAUAUUUACUAAAUGCCUAUUAUGUCCUAAUCAGGGGAUAUUGUGACAGAUUACAGAUCCGGGUUUCAUAGGGACUGGAAAAAACAGAAAAACUAACAAACAUUAUGCAGCCCUGUGAUAAUAAAAGAGAUAUGAUGUCAUUCCCCAAGUCUGGACAAGGAAUAUUUUGGAGAGGGAAGAUAAAUCGUUGAAUUUGGAGGAAAAAAAUGAUGUCUUUGGCUCAUCCACGUGACAAUGUUAAGUAGAAUUAGAUGUAGAAAUUAGUGCUCUGAAGAGAGAAUUUGGUACUAGAUAUAAAUUUAGGAGAUAUGGUGACUCUAUUUCAGCUAACAGCAUAGGAAUAAAGCAUAUUACCUCUGGAGAAGUGAAAAAAAGGAAUAAAGAAAUAAAACAUAAAGGAAAAAAUUAAAGGUAGACAAUUAAAAGAAAACAUGUUAGAAUCCUGGAAAACACCAAUAUUUAAAGAAAAAUGAAAAUGAUCCCACAAAAAAAAAGACAGGAAACAGAGAAAAACAGAGAGAAUGAAUGAAUGAAUGAAUGAAUGCAUAAAUUAAGGUAAUUUUAUGGAAGCCAG
rnacentral:lncRNA from 1 species